rnacentral:rRNA from 1 species
CGCCUCCUGCAGCAUAAAGUAUAGGAGGUCCAGCCUGCCCAGUGACUACGGGUUCAACGGCCGCGGUAUAUUGACCGUGCAAAGGUAGCGCAAUCACUUGUCUUUUAAAUAGAGACCUGUAUGAAUGGCUAGACGAGGGCUUAACUGUCUCCCCCCUCCAGUCAGUGAAAUUGAUCUAUCCGUGCAGAAGCGGGUAUAAUACUACAAGACGAGAAGACCCUUUGGAGCUUAAGGUACAAAAUUCAGCCACGUUAAGCAACUCCUUAAGAAGCAAGAACUUAAUGGCCAUGAAGUUUUACCUUCGGUUGGGGCGACCACGGAGGAAAAGCAAGCCUCCGAGUGGACUGGGCCAACACCCCUAAAGCCAAAAGAGACAUCUUUAAGCCGCAGAAUAUCUGACCAAUAAGGAUCCGGCUAAAAAGCCGAUCAACGGACCAAGUUACCCUAGGGAUAACAGCGCAAUCCUCUCCCAGAGCCCAUAUCGACGAGGGGGUUUACGACCUCGAUGUUGGAUCAGGACAUCCUGGUGGUGCAGCCGCUAUUAAGGGUUCGUUUGUUCAACGAUUAAAGUCCU